UACGGGGGGUGCGAGCGUUGUCCGGAAUCACUGGGCGUAAAGGGCGCGUAGGUGGUUUGAUAAGGGUGUGGUGAAAGUCCGGGGCUCAACCCCGGAUCUGCCGUGCCGACUGUCAAACUCGAGGACUGUAGAGGCAGACGGAAUUCCGGGUGUAGCGGUGGAAUGCGUAGAGAUCCGGAGGAAGACCGGUGGCGAAGGCGGUCUGCUGGGCAGUUCUGACACUGAGGCGCGACAGCGUGGGAGCAACAGG
rnacentral:rRNA from 1 species